UUGAAUAACUUUGGUUGGUUGUAGCUGGCUUUUCGAAGCAUGUGCACGCCUCCCAUCUUUAUCCAUUAUCCACCUGUGCACCUUUUGUAGUCUUAUGAAGUGAGAACAGUACGCCCUUGGUAGGGUCUUGUGAUCACUUCUUGGACUAUGAUUUUUCAUAUACCCUGUAGUAUGUUGCAGAAUGUAUCAAUUGGAACUUUGUUUCCUAUAAAAUCAAUA
rnacentral:misc_RNA from 1 species